GGACUUUCUCUCCUGCCCUCACAAGGGAAAAAGACCUUGAUGAAGUUCUGCAGACCCACUCAGUGUUUGUAAAUGUUUCUAAAGGUCAGGUUGCCAAGAAGGAAGAUCUCAUCAGUGCGUUUGGAACAGAUGACCAAACUGAAAUCUAUUUUGACUAAAGGAGAAGUUCAAGUAUCAGAUAAAGAAAGACAUACACAACUGGAGCAGAUGUUUAGGGACAUUGCAACUAUUGUGGCAGACAAAUGUGUGAAUCCUGAAACAAAGAGACCAUACACCGUGAUCCUUAUCGAGAGAGCCAUGAAGGACAUCCACUAUUCGGUGAAAACCAACAAGAGUACAAAACAGCAGGCUUUGGAAGUGAUAAAGCAGUUAAAAGAGAAAAUGAAGAUAGAACGUGCUCACAUGAGGCUUCGGUUCAUCCUUCCAGUGAAUGAAGGCAAGAAGCUGAAAGAAAAGCUCAAGCCACUGAUCAAGGUCAUAGAAAGUGAAGAUUAUGGCCAACAGUUAGAAAUC
rnacentral:sRNA from 1 species